GAUGAACGCUGGCGGCGUGCCUAAUACAUGCAAGUCGAGCGAACAGACGAGGAGCUUGCUCCUCUGACGUUAGCGGCGGACGGGUGAGUAACACGUGGAUAACCUACCUAUAAGACUGGGAUAACUUCGGGAAACCGGAGCUAAUACCGGAUAAUAUAUUGAACCGCAUGGUUCAAUAGUGAAAGACGGUUUUGCUGUCACUUAUAGAUGGAUCCGCGCCGAAUUAGCUAGUUGGUAAGGUAACGGCUUACCAAGGCAACGAUGCGUAGCCGACCUGAGAGGGUGAUCGGCCACACUGGCACUGAGACACGGUCCAGACUCCUACGGGAGGCAGCAGUAGGGAAUCUUCCGCGAUGGGCGAGAGCCUGACGGAGCAACGCCGCGUGAGUGAUGAAGGUCUUCGGAUCGUAGAACUCUGUUAUUAGGGAAGAACAAAUGUGUAAGUAACUAUGAACGUAUUGACGGUACCUAAUCAGAAAGCCACGGCUAACUACGUG
rnacentral:rRNA from 1 species